UCCCAUGAUGACCAUUACAGUCGGGUGUGGG
rnacentral:piRNA from 1 species